UGAUCUGCAUGGCAUGCUGAAAACAAUAUCCUCUGCUAUGCCAUAAGGAUUUCCAGUGGAAUAUACCCCAGAUGAAAACCAAUCGCCUUCAGGAGUUGGAGUAAUUAAAGACCUUAUGGCAUCAACAAUUGAUACAGCAGUUGAAGCAGCUGAAGAUCUUCCCCAUUUUUCAAUCAGCGCACCACCCCUCUUCUGUACUUUUUCAGUGAAUUCCUCUUCCAACCACCUGUGGUCCUUGAUAACCUCUUUAACGGGCAAGCCGUUAAUUCUUGCGUUCAAGAAGUCUGGAACCUGAGUUGUUGAGUGGUUGCCCCAAAUGGUCAUGUUUGACACUUUAUCAUAGAAGACACCCGCUUUCAGAGCCAGCUGACAUUUUGCUCUAUUCUCGUCUAAUCGAGAAUUCCCGCAAAGAACUUCCACGCUUUAACUCGAUUAGACGAGAAUA
rnacentral:misc_RNA from 1 species